UGGCAACGGCGGCCAUUUUUUACCAUUCCAAUGUCUUUUGCACUACUUCACAUGGCGGUUCAUAUUAUGGUAUAGUUCCAUCAACAUGGGUCUGACCAAUCCAGAGAAAUAGUAUGGACAAAAUGUGUGGAAGAAUAAAAAUAAUAAUAAUAAUAACUAGAUUUGUAAUUGCUAGCAAUAACGGAUGGCACCCUCGUCCCCCCA
rnacentral:lncRNA from 1 species